rnacentral:rRNA from 1 species
AUCCAACCUUCCCUGUAGUAGAGAAUAGCCCGGCGAAAGUCGGAUUAAUGCUCUAUGUUGUAUUUCGAUGACAUCUGAAGAAUACCAAAGGUUUACCGCUAUAGGAUGGGGAUGCGUCUGAUUAGGUUGUUGGCGGGGUAACGGCCCACCAAGCCUACGAUCAUAGGGGUUCUGAGAGGAAGGUCCCCCACAUUGGAACUGAGACACGGUCCAAACUCCUACGGGAGGCAGCAGUGAGGAAUAUUGGUCAAUGGACGGAAGUCUGAACCAGCCAAGUAGCGUGCAGGAUGACGGCCCUAUGGGUUGUAAACUGCUUUUAUAUAGGGAUAAAGUCGGGGACGUGUCCCCGUUUGUAGGUACUAUAUGAAUAAGGACCGGCUAAUUCCGUGCCAGCAGCCGC